rnacentral:rRNA from 1 species
AUGCGGCGGGGCGGCGGCGCUGCGACGGCCGUUGCGGCUGCGGCGGAGGCGGAGGGGGACGCGGGGGCGCGGUUCCGCGGCGUGCGGAAGCGGCCGUGGGGCCGGUACGCGGCGGAGAUCCGCGACCCGGCCAAGAAGGCGCGGGUAUGGCUCGGCACCUUCGACUCCGCCGAGGACGCCGCCCGCGCGUACGACGCCGCCGCGCGCAUGCUGCGCGGGCCCAAGGCCAAGACCAACUUCCCCCUCUCCCUUCCCCAUCACCACCAACUGCCGCCCAGCUACUCGCCCUACCCUGCCGCCGCUGUCCCGACGUCGGUCGCCGCGGCGGCGGCCAGGCCAGCCUGCAGCAGCCUGAGCUCCACCGUCGAGUCCUUCGGCGGGCCGCGGGCGCGGCCGGUGCUCCCGCCGCGGCCUCCGCCGCCGCCGAUCCUCGACGGCGACUGCCAUAGCGACUGCGGGUCCUCGGCCUCGGUGGUGGACGACGAUUGCGCGGACGCCGCCGCCUCGCCGUCCUGCGGUGCCCUGCUCCCGUUCGACCUCAACCUGCCCCCGGAGUUUGGCGGCGUUGCAUGUAACGACGACGACGAGCUGAAGCUGACGGCGCUGCGACUCUGA